GUGAAUUUAAAAAAACAACUGUCUAUGGUUUCUAAAUACCAAGUUAGACAUAAUAUUGAAUUACUGAGCUGAUCAGUGGUCUGUUAAACCUCUUCUAACUUCAUCACAUCUGGCUGCUGCCCAAGGAGGAAUCUUGUGUGUUUUCCAGCUGCAAAUGAGUAUUCACCACCAAGCUAUACCUACACCUCACUUGGGUAGAGACAUCAUCCACAGCCUGGGGCCCAGGUUGCUGCCUCAACCCUGUGCUUCACUCUGUUGUGAAGAGAUACAUCCAGAACCCGCAGCCUCCAGUCUGUAUUCUAACAGCAGCACCUGGUGAACCCUCACAGGCAGUUUCAUCAACAUCAAAAACCUUCAGCUGUGUGUACACAAUUUACAACAUCAAGCUACA